GAAAGAUUUUCAGAGUCAAAAAAAGAGUUGGACGCCCUCCUAUCUGAUGAAGCAUUAGCCGACGUUCCAUUUCUGAUUCUGGGCAAUAAGAUCGAUAUUCCGUAUGCUGCAUCAGAAGAUGAAUUACGGUACAACUUAGGCCUAACAAACUUCACCACUGGCAAGGGCAAGGUAAGCCUGGUCGACUCGAAUGUUCGUCCUCUGGAGGUUUUCAUGUGU
rnacentral:misc_RNA from 1 species